CGGACGGGUGAGUAACACGUGGAUAACCUACCUAUAAGACUGGGAUAACUUCGGGAAACCGGAGCUAAUACCGGAUAAUAUUUUGAACCGCAUGGUUCAAAAGUGAAAGACGGUCUUGCUGUCACUUAUAGAUGGAUACGCGCUGCAUUAGCUAGUUGGUAAGGUAACGGCUUACCAAGGCAACGAUGCAUAGCCGACCUGAGAGGGUGAUCGGCCACACUGGAACUGAGACACGGUCCAG
rnacentral:rRNA from 1 species